rnacentral:snRNA from 1 species
GUGCUCGCUUCGGCAGCACAUAUACUAAACCUGGAACGAUACAGAGAAGAUCAGCAUGGCCCCUGCACCAGGAUGGCAUGCCAACGCGUGAAGUGUGCCAUAAGAAG